rnacentral:rRNA from 1 species
UACGAAGGGGGCUAGCGUUGCUCGGAAUCACUGGGCGUAAAGCGCACGUAGGCGGGUCGUUAAGUCAGAGGUGAAAGCCUGGAGCUCAACUCCAGAACUGCCUUUGAUACUGGCGACCUCGAGUUCGAGAGAGGUUGGUGGAACUCCGAGUGUAGAGGUGAAACUCGUAGAUAUUCGGAAGAACACCAGUGGCGAAGGCGGCCAACUGGCUCGAUACUGACGCUGAGGUGCGAAAGCGUGGGGAGCAAACAGG